GAUGAACGCUGGCGGCGUGCCUAACACAUGCAAGUCGAGCGAACGGACGAGAACAUUGCUUCUCUGUUGUAGGCGGCGCAAGGGCCAGUAACGCAACAAUAACCUACCUAUAAGACUGCGAUAACUUCGGGAAACCGGCGCUUAAACCGGAUAAUAUUUUCAUCCGCAGGGUUCUAAAGUGAUAGCCGGUCUUGCUGUCCCUUACAGAUGGAUCCGCGCUGCAUUAGCUAGUUGGUAAGGUAACGGCUUACUAAGGCAACGAUGCCUAGCCGACCGGAGAGGGUGAUCGGCCACACUGCAACGGAGCCUCGGCCCGGACUACUGCGGGACGCAGCAGUAGGGAAUCGGCCGUAGUGGGCGCAGGCCUUACGGAACACCGCCGCGUGAGUGAUGAAGGUCUCCCCAUCGUAAAAGUCUGUUAGUAGUGAAGAACAUAUGUCUAAGUAACUGUGCACAUGCUGACGGUACCCAAUCAAAAAGCCACGGCUAACUUCGUG
rnacentral:rRNA from 1 species